CAUUGGUUUAUUUUUGCUUUUAUUUCUGUUGCUUAGGCAGACUGACCUGAGAAAAUAUUUGUAAAGUUGAUGUCAUAGAAUGUCUUACCUAUAUUCUCUUCUAGGAGGUUGAUGGUGUCUUAUCUUACAUUUAAGUCUUUAAGCCAUUCUGAGUUUAUUUUUGUGCAAGGUGUGAGGGUGUGUUCCAGUUUCAUUGAUUUACAUGCGGCUGUUCAGUUUCCCCAGCACCACUUCCUGAAAAGACGGUCUUUUUCCCAUUGUAUAUUCCUGCCUCCUUUGUCAAAGAUGAAUUGACCAUAGGUGUCUGGGUUUAUUUCUGGGUUCUCUAUUCUGUUCCAUUGGUCUGUAUGUCUGUUUUUGUACCAGUACCACACUGUCUUGAUGACUGUGGCUUUGUAAUAUUGCCUGAAGUCUAGGAGAGGUUUGCCUCCUGCUUGGUUUUUGUUCCUCAGGAUUGCUUUGGCAAUUCUGGGUCUUUAAUGUUUCCAUAUAAAUUUUUGAAUUGAUUGUUCUAGUUCUGUGAAAAAUGUCAUGGGUAAUUUGAUAGGGAUUGCAUUGAAUCUGUAGAUUGCUUUGGGUUGUAUGGCCAUUUUUACAGUAUUAUUUUUUCUAACCCAGGAGCAUUGAAUAUCUUUCCAUUUCUUUACAUCUUCUAUAAUUUUCUUGAUCAGUGUUUUGUAGUUCUCAGUAUAUAAGUCUUUCACCUCCUUGGUCAGGUGUAUUCCCAGGUAUUUUGUUUUUUUGGUGUGGAAUUUUAAAAGGUGUUGUAUUUUUUAUUCUUUUUCUAAUAUUUCAUUGUUAGUAAACAGAAAUGCAAUGGAUUUGUGCAUGUUAAUCUUAUAUCCUGCUACUUUGCUGAAUUUUUGGAUCAGUUCAAGUAGUUUUUGGGUUGAGUCCUUAGGGUUUUCUAUAUAGAGCAUCAUGUAUAGAGUGACAGUGUUACCUCUUCUCUUCCUAUUUGGAUACCUUGUAUUUCUUUUGUCUAAUUGCUGUGUCUAGAACUUCCAGUACUAUGUUGAAUAACAGUGUUGAGAGUGGGCAUUCUUGUCUUGUUCCAGAUUUUACUGGGAAGGCUUUCAGCUUUUCUCCCUUGAGUAUUAUAUUUGCUGUGGGUUUGUCAUAAAUGGCUUUGAUUAUGUUAUGUUCCCUCUAUACCCACUUUGGUAAGAGUUUUUUUCAUGAUGGAUGUUGGACUUGGUCAAAUGCUUUCUCUGCAUCUAUUGAGAUGAUCAUGUGGUUUUUGACUUUUCUUUUGUUAAUGUGGUGUAUGAUGUUGAUUGGUUUGCAUAUGUUGAACCAUCCUUAUGAACCUGGGAUGACUCCCAUCAGGUUGUGGUGUAUGAUCUUUUUUUAUAUGUUGUUGGAUUCAGUGGCUAAAAUUUUGUUGAAAAAAUUUUUCAUCUAUAUUCAUCAAAGAUAUUGGCCUACAGUUUUCUUUUUUGGUGGUGUCUUUGUCUGGUUUUGUAAUUAGAGUGACGGUGGCCUCAUAGAAUGUCUUUGGGAGUGUUACUUCUUCAACCUUUUGAAAAAGUUUAAGGAGGAUGGGUAUAAGUUCCUCUUUGUAUGUUUGGUAGAAUUCUUCUUCGAAGCCAUCUGGUCCUGGAGUUUUAUUUGUAGGUUUUUUUUUUUUUAUGACAUACUCAAUUUCAUUUCUAGUGACCAGUCUGUUUAGUUUAUCUGUUUCUUAUUGGUUCAGUUUUGGCAGGCUGUAAGUCUCUAGAAAGUUGUCCAUUUCUUCUAGGUUGUCAAAUUUGUUGGCAUACAAUUGUUCAUAGUAUUCUCUCAUGGUUUUUUGUAUUUCUGUAGUAUCUGUUGUGACUGCUCCUUUUUCAUUUCUUAUUUUGAUUUUUUUUUACCAACUGAAUGUAUUGUUCACUCAAACAAUAUGUUUGAUAGAAUAUUUCAGGGAAGUCAUCACACGUUUAAAAUUAUGUGAUUUCUGACAAAGGUGCAAGUCAAUGGAGGAAAAGAUAAUCUUUUGAAUAAAUGGUCUUGGAUCAAUUGAAUAUUUAUAUGGACAGUUUUUAACCCUGACCCUUUUCUCAUAUUAUACACACUUACUAACUCAAAAUGGAUCAAAGAUCUAAAGUGAAGCAUAAAACAAUGAAACUUCUAGAAGAAAACAUAAGAGAAUAUUUUCAUGACCUUAAGAUAGUCAAUGUUUCUUAAACACAAAAGCACAAAUCAUGAAAAAAGAGACUAAUAAAAUAGACUUCAUUAAUUUAAGAACUUUCAUUUAUCAAAAAUCAUUUUUAGG
rnacentral:lncRNA from 1 species